rnacentral:tRNA from 1 species
GAGGGUGUAGCUCAGUGGUAGAGUAUGCGCUUAGCAUGCACAAGGCCCUGGGUUCCAUUCCCAGCACUGACA